GAGGUUGUAGCUCAGUGGUAGAGGACUUGCCUUGCAUGCAUGAGGCACUGGGUUCAAUCCUCAGCACCACA
rfam:Ictidomys tridecemlineatus contig070933, whole genome shotgun sequence.